rnacentral:rRNA from 2 species
UUAAUUUGAGAGUUUGAUCCUGGCUCAGGACGAACGCUGGCGGCGUGCCUAAUACAUGCAAGUCGAACGAACUCUGGUAUUGAUUGGUGCUUGCAUCAUGAUUUACAUUUGAGUGAGUGGCGAACUGGUGAGUAACACGUGGGAAACCUGCCCAGAAGCGGGGGAUAACACCUGGAAACAGAUGCUAAUACCGCAUAACAACUUGGACCGCAUGGUCCGAGUUUGAAAGAUGGCUUCGGCUAUCACUUUUGGAUGGUCCCGCGGCGUAUUAGCUAGAUGGUGGGGUAACGGCUCACCAUGGCAAUGAUACGUAGCCGACCUGAGAGGGUAAUCGGCCACAUUGGGACUGAGACACGGCCCAAACUCCUACGGGAGGCAGCAGUAGGGAAUCUUCCACAAUGGACGAAAGUCUGAUGGAGCAACGCCGCGUGAGUGAAGAAGGGUUUCGGCUCGUAAAACUCUGUUGUUAAAGAAGAACAUAUCUGAGAGUAACUGUUCAGGUAUUGACGGUAUUUAACCAGAAAGCCACGGCUAACUACGUGCCAGCAGCCGCGGUAAUACGUAGGUGGCAAGCGUUGUCCGGAUUUAUUGGGCGUAAAGCGAGCGCAGGCGGUUUUUUAAGUCUGAUGUGAAAGCCUUCGGCUCAACCGAAGAGGUGCAUCGGAAACUGGGAAACUUGAGUGCAGAAGAGGACAGUGGAACUCCAUGUGUAGCGGUGAAAUGCGUAGAUAUAUGGAAGAACACCAGUGGCGAAGGCGGCUGUCUGGUCUGUAACUGACGCUGAGGCUCGAAAGUAUGGGUAGCAAACAGGAUUAGAUACCCUGGUAGUCCAUACCGUAAACGAUGAAUGCUAAGUGUUGGAGGGUUUCCGCCCUUCAGUGCUGCAGCUAACGCAUUAAGCAUUCCGCCUGGGGAGUACGGCCGCAAGGCUGAAACUCAAAGGAAUUGACGGGGGCCCGCACAAGCGGUGGAGCAUGUGGUUUAAUUCGAAGCUACGCGAAGAACCUUACCAGGUCUUGACAUACUAUGCAAAUCUAAGAGAUUAGACGUUCCCUUCGGGGACAUGGAUACAGGUGGUGCAUGGUUGUCGUCAGCUCGUGUCGUGAGAUGUUGGGUUAAGUCCCGCAACGAGCGCAACCCUUAUUAUCAGUUGCCAGCAUUAAGUUGGGCACUCUGGUGAGACUGCCGGUGACAAACCGGAGGAAGGUGGGGAUGACGUCAAAUCAUCAUGCCCCUUAUGACCUGGGCUACACACGUGCUACAAUGGAUGGUACAACGAGUUGCGAACUCGCGAGAGUAAGCUAAUCUCUUAAAGCCAUUCUCAGUUCGGAUUGUAGGCUGCAACUCGCCUACAUGAAGUCGGAAUCGCUAGUAAUCGCGGAUCAGCAUGCCGCGGUGAAUACGUUCCCGGGCCUUGUACACACCGCCCGUCACACCAUGAGAGUUUGUAACACCCAAAGUCGGUGGGGUAACCUUUUAGGAACCAGCCGCCUAAGGUGGGACAGAUGAUUAGGGUGAAGUCGUAACAAGGUAGCCGUAGGAGAACCUGCGGCUGGAUCACCUCCUUUCUAAGGAA